rnacentral:rRNA from 1 species
AGUGAACGCUGGCGGCGUGCCUAAUACAUGCAAGUCGAGCGGAGCGGCUGACGGGUGGGUAAUUCCUAGGAAUCUGCCUGGUCGUGGGGGAUAACGUCCGGAAACGGGCGCUAAUCCCGCAUACUAUCAGAUGAGCCUAGGUAGGAUUAGCUGGUGGGUGGGGUAAAGGCCUACCAAGGCGCCGAUCCGUAACUGGGUUGAGAGGAUGAUCAGUCACACUGGAACUGAGAAACGGUCCAGACUCUUACGGGAGGCAGCAGAGGGGAAUAUUGGACAAUGGCAGAAAGCCGGACCCAGCAAUGCCGCUGGUGGGAAGAGGGUCUUCGGAUUGUAAAGCACUUUAAGGUAGGAGGCGUUACCAACAGAAUAAGCAACGGCUAACUUCGUGCCAGCAGCCGCGGUAAUAC